rnacentral:rRNA from 1 species
UCAUGGCUCAGAUUGAACGCUGGCGGCAGGCUUAACACAUGCAAGUCGAGCGGGGGAAGGUAGCUUGCUACGGACCUAGCGGCGGACGGGUGAGUAAUGCUUAGGAAUCUGCCUAUUAGUGGGGGACAACAUCUCGAAAGGGAUGCUAAUACCGCAUACGUCCUACGGGAGAAAGCAGGGGAUCUUCGGACCUUGCGCUAAUAGAUGAGCCUAAGUCGGAUUAGCUAGUUGGUGGGGUAAAGGCCUACCAAGGCGACGAUCUGUAGCGGGUCUGAGAGGAUGAUCCGCCACACUGGGACUGAGACACGGCCCAGACUCCUACGGGAGGCAGCAGUGGGGAAUAUUGGACAAUGGGCGCAAGCCUGAUCCAGCCAUGCCGCGUGUGUGAAGAAGGCCUUAUGGUUGUAAAGCACUUUAAGCGAGGAGGAGGCUACUUUAGAUAAUACCUAGAGAUAGUGGACGUUACUCGCAGAAUAAGCACCGGCUAACUCUGUGCCAGCAGCCGCGGUAAUACAGAGGGUGCAAGCGUUAAUCGGAUUUACUGGGCGUAAAGCGCGCGUAGGCGGCUAAUUAAGUCAAAUGUGAAAUCCCCGAGCUUAACUUGGGAAUUGCAUUCGAUACUGGUUAGCUAGAGUGUGGGAGAGGAUGGUAGAAUUCCAGGUGUAGCGGUGAAAUGCGUAGAGAUCUGGAGGAAUACCGAUGGCGAAGGCAGCCAUCUGGCCUAACACUGACGCUGAGGUGCGAAAGCAUGGGGAGCAAACAGGAUUAGAUACCCUGGUAGUCCAUGCCGUAAACGAUGUCUACUAGCCGUUGGGGCCUUUGAGGCUUUAGUGGCGCAGCUAACGCGAUAAGUAGACCGCCUGGGGAGUACGGUCGCAAGACUAAAACUCAAAUGAAUUGACGGGGGCCCGCACAAGCGGUGGAGCAUGUGGUUUAAUUCGAUGCAACGCGAAGAACCUUACCUGGCCUUGACAUAGUAAGAACUUUCCAGAGAUGGAUUGGUGCCUUCGGGAACUUACAUACAGGUGCUGCAUGGCUGUCGUCAGCUCGUGUCGUGAGAUGUUGGGUUAAGUCCCGCAACGAGCGCAACCCUUUUCCUUAUUUGCCAGCGAGUAAUGUCGGGAACUUUAAGGAUACUGCCAGUGACAAACUGGAGGAAGGCGGGGACGACGUCAAGUCAUCAUGGCCCUUACGGCCAGGGCUACACACGUGCUACAAUGGUCGGUACAAAGGGUUGCUACACAGCGAUGUGAUGCUAAUCUCAAAAAGCCGAUCGUAGUCCGGAUUGGAGUCUGCAACUCGACUCCAUGAAGUCGGAAUCGCUAGUAAUCGCGGAUCAGAAUGCCGCGGUGAAUACGUUCCCGGGCCUUGUACACACCGCCCGUCACACCAUGGGAGUUUGUUGCACCAGAAGUAGCUAGCCUAACUGCAAAGAGGGCGGUUACCACGGUGUGGCCGAUGACUGGGGUGAAGUCGUAACAAGGUAGCCGUAGGGGAACCUGCGGCUGGAUCACCUCC